rnacentral:rRNA from 1 species
GACGAACGCUGGCGGCGUGCUUAACACAUGCAAGUCGAACGGAAAGGCCCUGCUUUUGUGGGGUCCGCUAGUGGCGAACUGGUGAGUAACCCGUGGGUAACCUGUCCUUGACGUUGGGAUAACUUCAGGAAACUGGAGCUAGUACCGGAUAGGAUCUCCUGCUCAAUGAUGGGGGUUGGUAAGUUUCGGCGGUUGGGGAUGUACUCGCGGCUUAUCAGCUUGUUGGUGGGGUAGUGGCUUACCAAGGCUUUGACGGGUAGCCGGCCUGCGAGGGUGACCGGCCACAUUGGGACUGAGAUACGGCACAGACUCCUACGGGAGGCAGCAGUGGGGAAUAUUGCACAAUGGGCGGAAGCCUGAUGCAGCAACGCCGCGUGCGGGAUGACGGCCUUCGGGUUGUAAACCGCUUUCGCCUGUGACGAAGCGUGAGUGACGGUAAUGGGUAAAGAAGCACCGGCUAACUACGUG